rnacentral:rRNA from 1 species
AUACGUAGGGGGCGAGCGUUGUCCGGAAUUACUGGGCGUAAAGGGUGCGUAGGCGGUUGAUUAAGUUGGAUGUGAAAUACCCGGGCUUAACUUGGGGAGGGCAUCCCAUACUGGUUAACUAGAGUGCAGGAGAGGGAGGCGGAAUUCCUAGUGUAGCGGUGAAAUGCGUAGAUAUUAGGAGGAACACCAUUGGCGAAGGCGGCUUUCUGGACUGUAACUGACGCUGAGGCACGAAAGCGUGGGGAGCAAACAGGAUUAGAUACCCUGGUAGUCCACGCCGUAAACGAAGAAUACUAGGUGUAGGGUGUAUCAAAUCCAUCUGUACCGCAGCAAACGCAAUAAGUAUUCCGCCUGGGGAGUACGGUCGCAAGGUUGAAACUCAAAUGAAUUGACGGGG